UAGAUGAAUCUAAGGCCUUAAUGAACUC
rnacentral:sRNA from 1 species